UACAGAGGUCUCAAGCGUUUGUUCGGAUUCAUUGGGCGUAAAGAGCGUGUAGGCGGCCAGAUAAGUCCGCUGUGAAAUCUCGAGGCUCAACUUCGAGCUGUCGGUGGAAACUGUCUGGCUAGAGUCCGGAAGAGGAGAAUGGAAUUCCUGGUGUAGCGGUGAAAUGCGCAGAUAUCAGGAGGAACACCGGUGGCGAAGGCGGGUCUCUGGGCCGAUACUGACGCUGAGGAGCGAAAGCGUGGGGAGCGAACAGG
rnacentral:rRNA from 1 species